rnacentral:rRNA from 1 species
UACGUAGGGUGCGAGCGUUGUCCGGAAUUAUUGGGCGUAAAGAGCUCGUAGGCGGCUUGUCGCGUCGUUCGUGAAAACCUGCAGCUCAACUGCAGGCUUGCGGUCGAUACGGGCAGGCUGGAGUUCGGUAGGGGAGACUGGAAUUCCUGGUGUAGCGGGUGAAAUGCGCAGAUAUCAGGAGGAACACCGGUGGCGAAGGCGGGUCUCUGGGCCGGAUACUGACGCUGGAGGAGCGA